rnacentral:pre_miRNA from 1 species
UGUUGAUGAUGAUGACGACGAUGUUGAUGAUGAUGAUGAUGAUGAUGACCAUCAUCAUCAUCAUCAUCAUCAUCAUCAUCGCCGUUGUCAUCAUUA